rnacentral:rRNA from 1 species
GAUGAACGCUGGCGGCGUGCCUAAUACAUGCAAGUCGAGCGAACGGACGAGAAGCUUGCUCCUCUGAUGUUAGCGGCGGACGGGUGAGUAACACGUGGAUAACCUACCUAUAAGACUGGGAUAACUUCGGGAAACCGGAGCUAAUACCGGAUGAUAUUUUGAACCGCAUGGUUCAAAAGUGAAAGACGGUUUUGCUGUCACUUAUAGAUGGAUACGCGCUGCAUUAGCUAGUUGGUAAGGUAACGGCUUACCAAGGCAACGAUGCGUAGCCGAUCUGAGAGGGUGAUCGGCCACACUGGAACUGAGACACGGUCCAGACUCCUACGGGAGGCAGCAGUAGGGAAUCUUCCGCAAUGGGCGAAAGCCUGACGGAGCAACGCCGCGUGAGUGAUGAAGGUCUUCGGAUCGUAAAGCUCUGUUAUUAGGGAAGAACAUAUGUGUAAGUAACUAUGCACGUCUUGACGGUACCUAAUCAGAAAGCCACGGCUAACUACGUG